GAGGUUAUUGACAAAGAGCCUGCGCUGGAGAAAACAGGCAGAUCGUAAAGAUACCGUAAACCCUUCCUUGGGGGGCGAUCCGCACCAUCCCUGGCGCGGACGCUUU
rnacentral:ncRNA from 1 species